UCCGUCGGAGGUUGUCGUGGGAUGCUGGCGCGGUUGUAAUGGCGAUGGUGGAGGAAGGUGAAUGGAAGAAGAGGAGAUGAAUAGUGGAUUUUAUGAGAAGAUCCCCAAGUCCUUUUUUUUGUUUUUUCUUUCUUUUCGUUUUCAGAGAGAAAGAGAGUUUUUUCUUUUCAUUCGUCAGUGAGAGAGUCCUUUUUGGAGUGUAUUGGUGUUGUGUUUUUUUAGUAUUUUUUUAUUUUGCUUUUUAGUUACAGUUUUUUUGUUACAGUUGGAGAAG
rnacentral:lncRNA from 1 species